rnacentral:rRNA from 1 species
CCUACGGGGGGCAGCAGUGGGGGAUAUUGCACAAUGGGGGAAACCCUGAUGCAGCGAAGCCGCGUGGGUGAAGGAGGGUUUCGGCGCGUAAAGCCCUAUCGGCAGGGAAGAAGGAGGACGGUACCUGACUAAGAAGCACCGGCUAAAUACGUGCCAGCAGCCGCGGUAAUACGCAGGGGGCAAGCGUUAUCCGGAUUUACUGGGUGUAAAGGGGGCGCAGGCGGCAGCGCAAGCCAGGAGUGAAAGCCCGGGGCCCAACCCCGGGACUGCGGUUGGAACUGGGCGGCUGGAGUGCAGGAGGGGCAGGCGGAAUGCCUGGUGUAGCGGUGAAAUGCGUAGAGAGGAGGAGGAACACCGGUGGAGAAGGCGGCCUGCUGGACUGCGACUGACGUUGAGGCCCGAAAGUGUGGGUAUCGAACAGGAUUAGAGACCCUAGUAGUC